rfam:Daphnia pulex DAPPTscaffold_2343_Cont14107, whole genome shotgun sequence.
GAUAGUGUAGCCGAGUGGUCAAUGUCGCAGGUUUUAGGCACCAGUCUCUUCGGAGGCAAUGGUUCAAAUCCCUUCGCUGUCA